UUUUCAAUUUAAUAUGAAGUACUAAUUUAAAAUAAGGCCUAUUCAGUUUUCUAUUUUGAAAUUACUUUGAUGACAUUUUCCAAAAUUGCCUCCACAGCCUGUUCUAGUGCACUACCACCACAGCAAUACAGACUCCUUAAUUUUAAUGAUAAAAAACCAUGGUAGAAAUUUGAAAACAUCAAGUAAUACUAGUUUUUCUUUCAAGUAGCUCAGAAUACUCAUGCCAAAUAUAAACAAAUGCUCAAAAAUAGCGUAUAAGAAAAUCUGCCAGAGUUUAUCACAAUGAAAAUAUAUAUGUUUGAUGUGUUGUGUAGAAGGGAUAAGCAGUAAUUUUCCUUCAGGAAAAUAUAUUACUAUGCAAGUAGUAAUAUAUAAAAUCUACUGUGCAGUUGAAAUGUGGUUUAUUAAAUCCAGGCAGUAAAGGAGUGAUGUGUUGGCUGCCCUUUGUGCUGUAGACAUUCCCAAAUAGUUAGAUCAGGCCUUCAUAGUGUACAAUUCUUUCCACAGAAAUUUGAAACCCAUCAAAACAUUUGCAUUUCUUCAAGUAAAAGAUGAACCACCACUUUAGGUUAACUUCAUUUAUUUGUCUUAAUAUUUUUUUGUUUGGUUUAGGAGAGACUGGCAUAAAUAAUGAUGAACGUUGUUCACCUAAGGACACAAGGAAUGUUGGAGCUGUGGAGGAACCACUCCAGGCAGAAGAGAAAAAUAAAUCUGCAGAUAUUUCAAAACAAAAAGAACAAUGCCUUGUACCAUGUGAUGCUCAAGCUAAAAUUUUACGAGGGGACAAACAUUACAUGUGCAGAAAUUUGCAGAACUCUCUUGCUGAAUAUGCCAGAAGUACAAAAAAACUGGUAAGAGACAUGAUGGAUGAUCAACAGUCUUCACUGGAUUACCUUUCUAAUCAGGUAAAUGAACUUAUGAACAAACUUGUUCUUUUGAACACAGUAAUUUUGAGAAAACAUCUGGAUCCACUUCCUUAUAAAGCAGUUCAAUCUCAUGGUUUGGACUGCACUCAUAUUAAAGAUACUGUUGGUUCAGUUUCAAAAACUCCAAGUGGUCUGUACAUUAUCCAUCCAGAAGGAUCAAAUCAUCCUUUUGAGGUUUUGUGUGACAUGGAUUUUCGAGGAGGUGGAUGGACUGUGGUUCAGAAAAGAACUGAUGGAAUUGUUCAGUUUCAGAGAACAUGGUCUGAAUAUUUAGAUGGAUUUGGUGACCUUACUGGAGAAUUUUGGCUUGGACUGAGAAAGAUUUUUGACAUCGUAAAUCAAAAGGCCACUCAUUUCAAUCUUUACGUGGAUUUGGAAUCAGAAAAUGACAAGCAUGCCUAUGCAUCAUACGAUGGAUUUUGGAUAGAGGAUGAAGCAUGCUAUUUUAAGAUCCAUUUGGGGCAUUAUUCAGGAAAUGCUGGUGAUGCAUUUAGAGGAUAUAGAAGAGAAGAUAACCAAAAUUCCAUGCCUUUCAGCACUUUUGAUGUUGAUAAUGAUGGAUGCAGGCCAGUGUGUACUAUUAAAGGACAGCCAGUAAAGAGCUGCAGUAACUUCAGUGAGAAGACUGGAUGGUGGUUCAACAAGUGUGGCCUUGCAAAUCUUAAUGGUGUUCAUCGCUACAGAGACAUUGUCACUAGGUCAGGGAGCUCCUGCAGCAGAGGUUUCUGGAGACUAAGUUCUGUUUUACCUUGAUAGCUUCUACAGGCAUCUGCUCUAGGCCCCCAUCAGGUAUGAGGCUUGCUUAGAUGGACCUCUGGAUGAAGACUGUGUAAUGGGAAUAUGUGGGGUGGGUAAUCUUCUGUAAGUGUUCAGAAACUGCAUUUAUAGAGAUGGAUGUAGGAAGCACUUCCUAGUUAAGGUGGGAUGGAUAAGCUUUGACUGUGGUUUAAUAUCACUGUUCUUAAUUCCCCUUGUGCCUGUCAGACCCUCAUUUCUGUGAUGCACCUGGCUGUUCAUGAAGAAGUAAUGCAUGGCAUUUCCCAGGUGGGCAUUAGAGGACACUUUGACCAGGUGCUGGUCAGAACACUCAUCAGAUCAGGACUUCUGAGUUCACCAUGUACCCACACUAAGUGCAGAGGGAGAAGAUGUCACUCUCUCCCUCCUUGUGCCUCUUUUCCUGGACCAUGUACAAAAACAUAGGUUUGUGUCCCUCAGCUGAAGCAGGGUUGGGGAAACUAUGAGAUAUACAGGAAAAUGAAGUCAAUUCUUCCAGUUUCAGCUAUUUUGUGGUAUUUAGCUGCAGACAAAAAAAUGUCAAAAUCCAAUUAAUUUUCUACAAUGAACAGAUGUAAAAUAGAAAUUAUUUUCCUUCUUUUUUAUUGCAAAACUAAAUACACAAGUUAUGAAACAGAACUCAACACAGGCACACAAAUACAAAACAGAGUAUUUAAAAAAUAAGGUUUCAUAUUUUAUGUCUCCUGCCGAUGACAGCAGAUUAAUUUUUGUAUUUGCAGCUAUUUCUUCCUCAUAAUAUUCAAUAAGGUCCUGUAUUGUUGCAAGGUUAAAUAUUUUUCAAACUUUUCUAGCAUUCUGGUUUAAUUCUGAUCAAAUCACAUUGGCAGUCCUCUAAAAUGCCAAGUAAUAAACAGAAUUCAGCAGGCCAGAGUACAAAAGUUGAGAAGGUCCUCACAAUAUAAAAGAAUAUUUUGUACAAAGCCUUUUGCUAUUACAAUUUUAAUAGCUUCUUUUCUUUCCAGAAAUUGCAAUCAGAAGAAAAAGUACACUCUAUUUUCUAGUGAAAUAUUUGACGGAAUUCAGCUAUGUAACUUUUCAGAUUUUGCUUUAUAUUCUUUUCCUAAUACCUUUUUAGAUGCUCCAGCUAUUUUCCUGCACUUUCUUUCUGUUCUUUUAAAUUAAUAAUUACAAGACAUAAGCAGAAGUAACUCCUGCAUUCUAAUGGCAGUGAAUGACUGAUUAUUGCUUAUCAUUCUAAAACACUGCAUUCCGUUUGUGUGUCCAGGUGUUGGUAGUGGGAGGUCUGCACUAUGGGAGUGGCUUCUGUGAGAAGCUGCUGGAAGCUUUCCCCAUGUCCAAUGGAGGCAAUGGCAGCUGGCUCCAAGAUGGAGCCACUGCUGGCCACAGCCCAGCCCAUCAGAGGCAGUGGUAGCACCUCUGGGAUAAUGUAUUUGAGACGGCCAAAAAACCCUGCUAUUCUUGUUGAAUAUUAAUCUGAUCCCUUGUAGAGCUUGCACUUUCUUUUUUUCCUUGGGAUUAAUGUCAAGCAAACUGUCAUCGAAUUCUCUCAGACAACCUGCAGCCAGAGAGGGAAGUGAGAAAGUGUGAGAGGAGCAGCCUGCAGACCCCAAGUUGCUCUUCAGAAGUUCAGUGUAACCAGAGGUCUGGGACCCCAGAUGGGAUCUAAAAAUCCCUUUUGAGAUGUGGAGUGAAACCCCACAGGUGUUUGAGAGGUGGCAAAAGCACAGCAGCAGUGACCAAGCCCUGCAGCAGCUAUUGUACUCCAAGGAAUCAGCUGUGGCCCAGGAGCAAUCAGCUGAGAGCUGAGACCAAAUAAAAGCCCUGCUCCUCAUAGAUUCCCUCUGCUUUGUGCCAAGCAGCAUCUCUGUGUGUUCCUGUCCCCUGACAGUCCUGGAGCCAGCACUCCUCCCUGCCUUCCCAGCCCCUGCUGCAGUCAUAGCUUCCCCCAACAGGAUGGUCUCAAAUGAAUUUGCACUUGCUUUCCAAAUUAAUUUGAUUCCACGUGCCUCCCACACCCACCAUUUCCUGUGGACGGGGAUUUGGGGAGGAGAGGAUGACUGGGCAGGAUUAGAUUUGCUAGAGCUUGGCAUGGAGAUAUCUGUAGGGGGAAAGGAAAGAAAGCUGAUGGCCAUUUGUUGAUUUGACAGGGUCAGGGAACCCUGCUUUUUCACCUAUGUCAUACACCCUUAAAAUGUUUACAUUGGCAUGAAACUAAACAUGUUCACUAGACACCUAGCACAUGCCUGUCCCUGGCUGAGCUGUCUUCAUCUCUCUGCCUCCUCAGAGCUCUGACACAUGUUGAAACUUUCUGAUGCACACCAGGAAAAUCAUCUGCUGCUUUUAUUUAGCUCUGCUUCUUGCCUUUGCUGUUUUGUUAAGUCUUUCUAGUUUGUUUCUAGUCUCAGCCUGUCCAUCAAAGCUUGUUCUUGUGAAAGGGAGAGGAUGGAAAUGCUGUCUGGAGAAACAAGUCACAGGUGAAACAUGUACUUUUAUGCCAGUGAGAUUUUCCUUGUUUGUUAUUGUCCUGCUCAGUACUCAGGUACUCUUCUGUAUCCUCUCAGAGUUAUUAGUACAGAAAUUGCCUAACUCUGUAUAAUGUCCACCUUAGGAUUAACAUCAUGAUGGAGAAAUCCCUGUUCUGAGCUGAUGAUGAACUCAUUUGAGCAUGUAGAAGCCAUAACAGCUUAAGGGGCUUGUUAUUAACCUGGGAGUCCAAGGUGAGUCAUGAAGACAAGACAGCGAAAUUUUAAGGUUCUGGUGUGGAGAUGCAGAAAAUUACCUAAUGGAGAGGGGCUAGGAAUCUGUUCCGUGGGUUGACUGAAGACAGGUAAAAAGGACAAAAGAAGGUGCAGAGGUAUCAAGGAGAGGACUGAGCUGAAGGUAGGGGUGGAGAGAGGUGGAGGAUGAAGCCGAACUGAAGACUAGACUACAGGCAGCCCUAUCUUUGAAGAAUUCUGAAGGUGAGGUAAAGAAGUUUGAAUCUGUUGCACAAAUGGAAAGGAUGCCAUUGGAUGCAUGAAAAAAGGCAGGAGAUAUAAUUUUUUUUGUAGCUGUGGUUAGAGAGAUGCAGGGUGUUUUGAUUUCUAAACCAAAAUUUCCACAGAACUGCAGAAAAGAGAGAAUCAAUUUGGCUAAGUCAUAUGGUAGUGUCAGUUGCAUACAUACAUACAUGACACUCUGAGUUAAAUGAUAUCCUGUUAUGCUUUUUACACAAACAGGCUACCACUUUGAAAUUAUUGAGUCUGGGAAAAUAUUCCUCAUGAGCUUUCAUUUCUCUUUGCAUAAAUGGGAGAGUUUCCCAUUGCUGUCAUUUUCUCCUGAGGGAUUUUUCUCCCUUGUCCACCAGUUUUAUACCUACUGUGAAUAACUUUUUUGUGUGUUCAUUCAUUUAAUUGAACAAAAUCUGUUAUCAAAUCCCAGAACCCCUAGACAGAAGGACCAUGUGAACAGAGAAUCUUGUUAAUAUUGGAAAGACUUCCCAGCUAACACUGAUUUGUCAAAAUACCAGUGAUAGUUUAAAGAUACUUGUUCCUUAUGUGAGUCAUUCCUAAUUCAAACAAAUAAAGCCCCAUCAAUGGAAGACUUAAUGAAACUUAACACAGCAGUUCCCUGAAGAAAAGAAGUUAAAAAAUGAAAUUUAAUUUUUAUUGCAUUUAAAAUAAAAUUAACACACAAAUACAUGUAAUUCAUUUUUGUUUAUAAAAGCACAUUUAAUAAAAUAUUAUCUCAGCACAGUGUGUGUCAUUAAACAAGAAAAUUGUGAAGUUAAUUUUCCACCUCACAAUACUUUGACUAUUAUAAUGUUACAGGAAAAAGAGAAAAAAUAAAUGCUUGU